CAGCCGCCGCGGUAAAACCAGCACCUCAAGUGGUCAGGAUGAUUAUUGGGCCUAAAGCAUCCGUAGCCGGCUCUGUAAGUCCUCGGUUAAAUCUGUACGCUUAACGUACAGGCUGCCGGGAAUACUGCAUAGCUAGGGAGUGGGAGAGGUAGACGGUACUCGGUAGGAAGGAGUAAAAUCCUUUGAUCUAUUGAUGACCACCUGUGGCGAAGGCGGCCUACCAGAACACGUCCGACGGUGAGGGAUGAAAGCUGGGGGAGCAAACCGGAUUAGAUACCCGGGUAGUCCCAGCUGUAAACUAUGCAAACUCAGUGAUGCAUUGGCUUGUGGCCAAUGCAGUGCUGCAGGGAAGCCGUUAAGUUUGCCGCCUGGGAAGUACGUACGCAAGUAUGAAACUUAAAGGAAUUGGCGGGGGAGCAC
rnacentral:rRNA from 1 species